rnacentral:rRNA from 1 species
AAGUCCUCAUGGCCCUUAUGACCAGGGCUACACGACGUGCUACAAUGGCCGGUACAAGAGUUGCGAUACCGUGAGGUGGAGGCCAAUCUCCAUAAAGCCGGUCUCAGUUCGGAUUGGAGUCUGCAACUCGACUCCAUGAAGUUGGAAUCGCUAGUAAUCGCGGAUCAGCAUGCCGCGGUGAAUACGUUCCCGGGCCUU